AGACCAUAUAGGGCGAGUGGUCGCAUGGUGUCUCCCGGAGAAAACCUUGCGUAAAAUACUGAGGUAGCCAUUUUUCCAAUAGUUUCUUAUGAGAAACCAACUGCCUCGACGGAUAUAUUAUCGAAUACAUAUGUUAAAAACACCUUGAGGAUGGAUCCUAAACAACGUUUGCCGUGUUUCUGUCGAUAUUAUGGAGUUAAUUUUGAAAAAAGUUUGGCGUUGUAAUGGUAGCAUUUUCCGGUCGAUUUCUCAGCCAAGCAUGAUGAACAAACGGGAGCUAUUUCGCCUACAAAAAUAAUAUUUUUGGAAAAAAGGAACAUUUGCUAUCUAACUGGGAGUCUCCUGAGUGAAAGCAUCCGAAGUUCUUUAAAGUGGCAGGGACUGGGAGACUAGUCGGGAUUGACGGAAAGAUGAACGGAGCAAAGUACAGAGAGAUCCUAGAGGAAAACCUGUUCCAGAGCACUGAGGACCUCAGACUGGGACGAAGACGGUGUUCUCUAUCUUCAGACCAGUGGUUAUCCUAGCUCACCCACUUCAAUCAUCUUCUCGUAGUCUAUCAUCGUGGGGGAUGCAAACCCCAUGCUCAGACAGACAGACAGACCCCAGGUCUCGAGUCAAGGACGUGAACCAGAGUUCUCUACCUCUC
ensembl:lncRNA